GGUCAAAACACUGUAAUGUUUAUAGUAUAGCAAUGUUCAUAGUGGAACAAAAUACACAGAACAGGCUGUAGGUGAAAACUGAAAGAAUUUACAGAAAUUUCACACCGGGAUUCCUCUCGCUGUGAAAGGAGAGGGCCGUUAAAGAAAGUUUGUCAUGAAUUGUAACCAUAAAAAUCUGCCUUUAAAGAAGUAUCAGUACCACAGUUAUUUUUUAUUAUCAGAACUACAGCCAGCGAUGUACAACAUAACAAAACACCAAGCCUUCUGAGGUCAACUGUAAUGUGAUUUUUCGCUUCAUGAAUAAAAUAAACUUAAUCUUAGAUGUCUGGAAGAACAUGCUGAGGUGAAGAAGAAGAAGAAGAAAAGUAAUAGCAUAAACAGCUCAAGAAAACAUCAAUCUGUGGCAGAAACAGUGUAUUUAUAAUGUACAUCUUUGAAUGUGGUCGUCCCUCCACAGAACUCUGAGUUCUCCUUUUAAUGUGUCAGAAUAGAAUAGAAUAGAAUAUUCCUUUAUUGAUCCCCCAUGGGGGAAAUUUUUUUGUCACAGCAGCAUCACAGACAAGACAAAAAGUGCAAAAAUGCAGUUAUAACAAUAAGGGUCCUAAUAUUAAGAACUUAAAUAAAUGUAAUAAUUAAGAAAAAAAUUAGAAAAGGGAGAAGAAAAAAUAAAGCUUUCUACAAUAUACACAAUUUAAAUGCCAUAAAAAAAAAGUGGUGGUGUAAAAUCAGUUUUGUUACUGUUCAUUGUAAAGUCUUAUUGCAGAGGGGAGGAAUGAUCUGCGGUAGCGCUCCGUCCUGCAGGGUGGGAGUCUCAGUCUGCUGCUGAAGGAGCUGCCUAAAGCCCCCACAGUCUGGUGCAGUGGGUGAGAGGGAUUGUCCAUGAUGUAUACAAGCUUUGUUAACAUCCUCCUCUCACCCACCUCCUCCAGGGAGUCCAAAGAGCAGUCCAGGACAGAACCGGCCCUUCUGACCAGUCUAUUCAGUCUCUCAAAAAUGCAAAAUAAAUAUUGACAAUCUUACACACAGUCUUUUGUCCUGCCCCAUAUUACAGAUUCAGUGAUACUGUCCCCUUAAAAGCUCAAUGUUUUGAGCUUCAUCUUCUAUUGGACUGGUCCCACUUCUCCCAGGCUGGACUAAUAAUGCUCAUAUACUUAGUCUGUGUCAUAAAAACGUCCUGGCAUGGGCAAUGGAUUUCCUGCAGGGCUCCCACACUCACUCAAUGGUACUGUAUACAGUGGAUCAUAUUCCACCACACUUCCUGAUUUGUCUAAACACUUCACAACAGCUGAAAUCAUCCCUUGCAUAUAUAAAGAUUAAUGUGACGUUUACAUGGAGCUAGUGCCCAACUACCAAGGUGCGCUAAAUGACUCAGAAUACUGCAAUGUUGGAUAUCUGUGACUGUACAAGAACUUUUACAAAACAGCCCAGACUUUGGUCUUUCUUUUUACAGACAACUCUGUGCAGAGAAAGAUUACUGUGUUAAGGCUGUCUCAUACUUAGGUCCACCUGACUGAAAUGAGCUUUUGUUAUCAGCUAAGAUGAUCCCAAACUGAUUGCCAGGAUUAACAUUUGACAUUAAUUGCCCAAUAAAAUUUGAAAAACCAAACUUACUUUUAAAAUUCUUAUCUUGAGGAUAAAACUUUCCCUUAAUUUAGCUGGUGACUGAAAACAUUGUAUAUGAUGUGAGCUUGCUGUACAGCAGCUUGUGUCUUUAUUGAAUGUAAUGUAACAAUAACGCCCUCUAGUGUUUGAAACCUACAUAUCUGCUGCCACUGCUCAGUCCUUCCAUUAGCAAGUCUCAACGGAUGAUGAAAACAGUCUUGAUGCAGAUGUGUGAGUUUUCUUCUGUUGACUAUAGAGCAGACAAAAGUCAAUAUUAAUGACCCUAUAUAUCCGUAAAAAACGAAUGAGACCAUUAGCAUUAUGACUACAGUGUUUCCCUUUUGACAAGCCUGAAACUGUUGCCACAACUAAGUGUCUAUUUUUCAAGGCAAAGUUUCUAGAUACAAUUAUUCUUUGAAAACCACAGGAUAAGAAAAAAAAAACCUAUACCUUCACAAGUACAGGAAAAUAGCCAAGAGAAAAGUGGGAUCAUGGUCUCUAAUGUAUAUUCACAUAAUUUAAAAUUAUUAACAGCACUUGUGAGAAGAAUUUGAAUUUUCUAAACCUCUUAUGUAAACAUAUAAGUAUAACAUUUGUUCAUACACAAAUUAAAUAUAAUAUGCCUAUGUCAUAAAUUUUAAAUUUGGAUGACCUUGGGGUCUAGCAAAACUGCAUAAAA
rnacentral:lncRNA from 1 species